rnacentral:lncRNA from 1 species
AGUUGGAUGGUAUGCUCUAGAGACUGCAAAAAGGCCAGGAGCUGCAGGAAAGCAUUCGUGGGUGCCGAUGAUAGCUGAGCUCUGAAGCCAUCAAGACUCCUUGAAAAUAAUUACAGUUGACAUUUCCAUCGGUGAGACCAAACGCUGGUCUCACACAGUGAAAAUGGCAUGCUUGCGAUAGGCUGUGCUCUAGAAAGCAUCCGACAAAGAAUCUGCUUCCACAGACCCCGGGGCAGCCUCUGGAUGAUGUAUAAGUGUCCUCUCUACCAGCCUGGGACUGAAGCCUGUUGGAUGGCGCCACCAGACUCAGGGUGGGCCUUCCCACCUCAGCUAAACCUUUCUGGGAACUCUCUCAAAAGAACACCCAGGUGUGUUUCCAUGGUGAUUUUAAGCUCAGUCAAAUAAACAAUGAUUUACCAUCAC